rnacentral:rRNA from 1 species
GCGGAUGAACUGUGGGUAGCGGAGAAAUUCCAAUCGAACCCGGAGAUAGCUGGUUCUCCCCGAAAUAGUUUUAGGACUAGCCUCAAGUUAGAUACCUGGAGGUAAAGCACUGAAUAGCCUAGCGGCCGAGAGGUUAGCGAAGCUUAUCAAACUCAGAAUGCCAGAGUAUUGAUGCUUGGGAGUCAGACAGUGUCAGAUAAAUGUCAUUGUCAAAAGGGAAACAGCCCAGAUCUACAGCUAAGGUCCCAAAGUCAGGUUAAGUGGAAAACGAUGUGAAGAUACGCAGACAACCAGGAUGUUGGCUCAGAAGCAGCCACUCAUUCAAAGAGUGCGUAAUAGCUCACUGGUCGAGCGUCUUUGCGCGGAGAAUUUAACGGGGCUAAACCUGACACCGAAGCUUAGGCAAUCCAGCAAUGGAUUGGGUAGGGGAGCGUUGUAUACGCGGAGAAACAGUAGCGUAAGCGGCUGUGGAGUGUAUAGAAGUGAGAAUGCCGGAAUGAGUAGCGCGAAUGCAGUGAGAAUCUGCAUGGCCGAAAGCCUCAGGUUUUUGGAGGAAGGUUCGUCCGCUCCAAGUUAGUCGGGAGCUAAGGUGAGGCCGGAAGGCGUAGCCGAUGCACAGACGGUAGAGAUUCCGUCACCACCAAAAGAGUUAAGCACAGGGACACAUUUGAAGUCUCAGAGCCGGGUGUUGGUUCCGGUAGAGAUCGAGGGAAGUUAGUACCGAAGUCUGGGAUGGAAGAUGGCGAGAAAAGCUGUGUGUAUUUCUGAGGUGCCCGUACCGCAAACCGACACAGGUAGGUAGGAAGAAGAUUCUAAGGCCAACGGGAGAAGGGUUGUUAAGGAACUCGGCAAAUUGACCCCGUAACUUCGGGAGAAGGGGUGCUCCAGAGAUGGAGCCGCAGAGAAUCGGCCCAAGCAACUGUUUACCAAAAACACAGGUUUGUGCUAAAUCGAAAGAUGACGUAUACGAGCUGACGCCUGCCCGGUGCUGGAAGGUUAAGAGGAGAUGUGCAAGCAUUGAAUCGAAGCCCCAGUGAACGGCGGCCGUAACUAUAACGGUCCUAAGGUAGCGAAAUUCCUUGUCAGGUAAGUUCUGACCCGCAUGAAAGGCGUAAUGAUUUGGGCACUGUCUCAACAGCCCGCCCGGCGAAAUUGUAGUACCGGUGAAGAUGCCGGUUACCCGCGACAAGACGGAAAGACCCCAUGGAGCUUUACUGUAGCCUAAUAUUGGGUUUCGAUGUUGCAUGCACAGGAUAGAUGGGACACUGGGAAGCAGGUGCUUUGGCGCUUGUGGAGUGGCCGUUGGGAUACCAUCCUUGCGAUAUUGGAAUUCUAACCUGCGCCUUUGAAUCAAGGCGGGGGACAUUGUUAGGUGGGCAGUUUGACUGGGGCGGUCGCCUCCUAAAGAGUAACGGAGGCGUUCAAAGGUUCGCUCAGCUUGAACGGAAAUCAAGCAAAAGAGUGCAAACGCAGAAGCGAGCCUAACUGCGAGACUGACGGGUCGAGCAGUAACGAAAGUUGGAGUUAGUGAUCCGG